AAAUUGGCUUCACUGUGGUGAUGCUCAUAAGAGGCGUGGACCUGUUUUUCUGUAAAGCUGCUUUGUGACAACCUUGUUGUAAAAAGCGCUAUAUAAAUAAACUUGAAUUGGGUAAUGACGGAAAGAAUGAGACUGCCAAUACAAGCGGCCGAAAGGAGUUUCCUCCGCAGGGUGUCUGGACUCAACCUUAGAGAUAGGAUGAGAAGUUGUCAUCCGGGAGGGACUCUGAGUAGAGCCUCUGCUUUUCCACAUCGAGAGGAGCCAGCUGAGGUGGUUCAGGCAUCUGGUUAGGAUGCCUCCUGGACGCCUCCCUCGGGAGGUGUCACAGGAAAGUCCAACCAGGAGGAGACCCCAGGGAAGACCCAGGACACGCUGGCAUGACCUAUAUCAGAAUCUCCCCCCAGGGGAGCUAGUGGAAGUGACUGGGGAAAGGGAGGUCUGGGCCUCAUUGCUUAGGAUGCUGCCCUGCGUCCCGAACCCUGGAAAAGCAGAAGAUAAUGGAUGGGUGGAUGACCUUCACCCACGGUGGGAGCUUGAUAUGGAUGGCUGGUACGUCUUGGCCACUGAGUACCUGGAGUGUCAUUGCUAGAAGGUUGCGAGAUGGUCACGGUGCAUCCAUGAGCAGCUUGACACUGCAGAUCAAACAAUGUUUCUGGCAGUCCUCAAAUACAGUUGAGCUGCACUAGCGGUCACCUUGGUGUUGAGGUACAGCAAGUGGCGGCACCACCACCACCUAUGGUGCCCGUUCCUGCACCUCACUGUCCAAGCUGAGGAUAUCUGGACGUGGAUUGGUGAGAUGAAGGGCAACACUGUAGAUCUGAUGGGUGGAAAUGAGGUAAUGUUUUUAUUACACUCACAGGCAUUUAUUACUCUGCCUCCAUUUGAGUGGGAUGCUAACUAAAGGAUGGAUGCCAUUUGGAACACCCAGCAGCGACACCUUUGUUGCAUCCAUGAUCCUCUCGGACUCCAGUACGAAAAGGCAGGGCAGCUGAUCAAAGGCGAGGUCAUCCUGCCUGUGUACCACUGCACAUAGCUCCACCUCUAGGCAUCCCACCUACAUCUAGAUCACUUAAUGUCUGGAUAGAUUUGGAUUGUGUUGGUUGCAGACGGUCUCGGUCCAGUGUUUUCUUUGCUUCACAGGAAUGUCUGCAAAUGCAGAAAACUUCCAGAUCCAUUUCCUGGAUGGGUUAGAGAGGUGGUUUUGGGACCGUGCAGCAGAGGUAGACCAGGCAGGGACGGGGCUGCAGUGUUGGUGGCAAUUUGCAGCACAGCCUCCACCAGCUAAGCCACCCGUUGCUCAUCUGCAAGUUGUUUGAAGACUGCGCCAAGCCUGGAGAGUGCACAGGAUUGGUUCAAGGCCAGCACUUGCUGUAAGAAGGGAGUGCUUGACAUGGGCUAUGCCAUCAUGGUGCUGGCUGGGCAGCAGACAAAGCGGGCAUCUAGUGAGUUGGAUGACAGUAGUCCCUUGGCAACAUUUGUCUCCAUGCAGUACCACAAACUCAAGGUGCAGCACAAGGAGGCCUGGAUAUCUUUUUUUUAACUUGACUACAAAAGUAUUAAAACAAGUCAUACUCAUUAAUACUCCAGUUUUAAGCAUGAAGGUAGCUGAGGACAGCACAACCUGUAACAAUAUUUAGUGUGGUACAGUUAAAAGGCAUAACUGCUUGAAGUAUCAGCAGAUUAACCCUUUCAUUACUCCAGUGUGCAAAAGUUUUUUUUUUAACCUGAGCUUCAGAUGUUUGUCAACUAGUGCCAAUAUUUCCUACUGUAUUGUUUGAACAACACUUAUCAAAAAUGUUUUAUAUACAUGAAAUGCUUAAUAUAAUAAAAGAUGAGAACACGAAGAAUGUUCGGCUGUUCAGUUUGUUGACUUGGUGGCCAUCUUGGCAACACGGCAGGUCGUUUAGCUCAGCAAUAUAAGAUCAGAUUCCUUUUGCUCUGAAUAGGAGACCAGAAUAUUUGAAACUGAAGGUUAAUGUUUAAGAAAAAAAAAAUCAAUCUGACAAACCUGCCAAAUCUCAUGAACAGCUUGUCUGGCUUUUCCAAGCCAACUUAAUACAGCGUUUGAACAUGUCAGCAAAAGCUGGUGUCUUGCCUUUAACCGUUAGCAGUAGGAAUUGAAGUUUGUGCUAGAUGGCUCUGUCGGUCUUUUUCCUUGCCACUGGUUUGCUUAUGGGAGCUUGGACCUGGAUUUUUCUUUUCUUUUUGUAAUACUGAUUUGUUCUGUAAAGCUGCUUUCUGACAACCCCUGGCCAACUGCCCCACUUGCUAACUGCACCUUAAAGACCUAGGUGUCUCAACUUUCACACCAGGAUAAAGGAUUGAUUUAUUGUUUAAAUCAAGGCAGGAGAAGCAACAGCAUCAGGCAAAGAAAAAACGUAGAGUGACUGAUCACAGAUUAGUGUUAACAGAAUGCAGCAGAGACUGACAGGUCUAGCGAUUACAGCCUAACUAAAAGGGAGAGACCUCAGGGAGCCCCCAUGUCUCAUCUUCGAUGUCAGCGCCCCUCCACUGACUGCAUCUGGGGUUCAGU